UGAGAGAACAGUCACACCCAGCAUCUUCAACCCCACCAAUCACAGCACAGAUGUGUUGACUUCCUGUUUCUGUGAGAGAGAAGCAUGCAGUGCCAGUGAGGGUGAGGUGAGUGAAAGACUGAAUUACUGGAACAAGCUGUAGCGCAAUCACUGUGAUUCUAUUGAGUUUAUGAGAAGUGAAGAAAAGCUGCAUGCGAGCUUGAAGGUUACUUCUUGGGCUCCUUUUUAAGCUGGAGGGGGAAAGUAAAAGGAAAACAGAAACAGAAGGGGGGGAGGAAGAUAAGUGUCAAUCUGUUCAAACUUGUUUGGGAAUUUGAGAAGGGCGGGAGGAGGGGAUGAGAGAGAGAGAGAAAAAGAGAGAAAGAGAGGGAGGAACACUGCGAAUCUUUUUACUUUGUUAAAACCUAUUUUUGCUUAUGUGAACACAUUAAGUAGGACAGAGGCAGGCUGGAUAAUUAAAUCAGAGUUUUCAGUAGAGCAUUUAUCACACUCAACUUUGGUUCUCUCAGUGGGCAAACACUGAUAUGUGGAAUGUCUGUGAGUUGUGCAAUUCCUGCUAGCUUCACUUUGUCAAGAAAGCAAAGGAAAAGUUGGAGAGAGACAGAGAAGCAUCCCCCAAGACACUUCUCAGGUUCUCUAUGUUGCAAUGGAAACCAGUCAAAUUAAUUGGGCCAUCCAAGACACUGUGCAGAUACAGUCCUCUUAAGGUGCACUAGACAGGUUGUCGAUCAAGUGCAAACUGUGACCUGAUUCCUUGAGCUAAUUGACAAAGUUGACCUGGGUGAAAAAGAGACUUGUAAACACAGAAAGAUGGACAAAACAAGAGAAAAAGAAAUGGAGCCAGACACAUGUGAUGGGAUUAGAGACAGGGAGAGAUUUCUUGCAACCCGAAGAAGAGAUGGAGAGAUUGACUGCAGAGAAAGAGAGAGGCGGAGAAAUGGAGAUCGAUGUGCAAAUGGAAGCUCAUCAGUGUCAGAGCAGGCUGAGUAUGGAGAUCGAUACAAUGAGAGGAGAAAAGGGGACACUUUUCCAAAGAUGACAAAACCAAACAGAGUGAGAGACAGAAGGACACCACUUACAGACUAUGAAAGAGAGCGUCACAUGGGAAGACCGAAGGACAUACUGUAUGAAAAGGAAAGGAGGAGAUACAGAGACAUAGACAUGCGGCUUGAAAGAGAAAUUGAAAGAAACAGGGAGGAGCUGAGGAGAAAUGAAAUGAGAAGGCCCGUAAAGGAGGAGCCAGAUAGACAGAGGGAACGAGACAGGGAGUUUGACUCAGGAAUGAGAGAUAGAAGGAGAGAAAGUUAUCCAGGGGUCAGUGACCUUUCAGGCAUGAGGGAAAGAGAGACAGACAGAGACAGAGAAAGACAUCGACAAAGAGAAAGAGAGGGCAGAUAUUAUCCUCGGCUCAUGGAAAGAGAGACAGAGAGCUUUUCAGACAGGGAAAGGAGGACUGAUAGACAAAGAGAUGGAGAGAGUUCUAGGAAAAGAGAUACAAAAAGUGAAGGAGACAGUGAUGGAGACAGGGGUAAGGAAAGGAAGAGAGAAGAAGAUGCUACACAUAGACACAAAUUCUACAAGAGUGAAGGAGACAGUGAUGCAGGGCGAAGGGCAGACAAAGUUAAAGAGAGAGAGAGACGUAGAGAGAGAGAAGCCGAAAGAUGGCGAGACAAGGCAGUAAGAGGAAGAGAUUAUCGAGAGACGGGUUACCAUGAUCCAAAAGUAGAAAAUUCAGAACGACUCAAAGAGACAGAUAAACCAAGAGAUAGAACGAGAGACUCCAAAGACAAAAGAAUGGACAGAGAUGCUUACUUAUACACAACUGAAAGAAGAAGGUAUAGGGCUGGAGAAAAGAUAAGAGAUAGGGAUAGGUAUUCUGAAAAAGAGAUUGAAGAGAGGGAGAGGCGGAGGAAAGAGUACAAAGAGACAGGGAGAAGUAAAAUGGAGAAUAGUGGAGAGCUGAUUUCAGGAAGUGAUAUUGAGAAUGAAAAAAGGAGGACAAUGAGAGAGAACCUUGAGGACAGAGACAGAGAAAACACAUCUGAGAUUGAUAAAGAGAGACUGGAGGAAAGAACAGAGGAAGAGCAAGAAGUAAGGAUUACACCGAGGGAAGAAAAGAAGAGUGAAAGCUUUGCUGCUGAGGAAGCAGUUACAAAGAAACCUAAGAACAGGAUAAGAAAAAUGUGGCUGGAACCUCGAAGUGAGAGAAAAGAAUCUUGUUUAAAAGAGGACACAGAGAGAGAGAGAGAAAGAGAGAGGUACAUCCAAAGAUACAAAGAAAGCAUGACAACAGGAAAUGAAGAAGAGCCUGAGAGAAGGAAACCAAGCAAGAGCAAAUGUCUUGAGGACAAGUAUAGAGAACUUGAAAGGGCUGGAGAGUUCAUGAGGGAUGUGGAUGUAGAAAGGGAGGAGAAGAGGAUGGAAGGGGACAUGGCUUAUGAUAAAGAAGCCAUGGAAUCAGAGUGGCAGAUGGAAAGAGAGAAUGUGGCCGAUAACUUGGAAGAAAAUGAUAGAGAUGAACAGAGAAGCAAUAAUAGAUAUGACUAUUUGGAGAAUGAGGAAGGAAGUGAGGGAGAAUCGGAAGCAGAGAAGAACAGAAUGAUGUCAGCAGAUGACGGAUUUGUAACAGUCUCCAGUGGAGGGGAUGAUGCGGAGGAAGAGGAUUUUGAAGACUGCAAAGAAUUCUGGGAAGGUGGAGUUCCCAAAGCUAUCUCUGGACACUCGGGAACUACAGAGGACACAGAAAAUGGGGCAAAUGAAGCUCCAAAAGGACCCCUAAGAGUCUUUUGUGUGAUUGGUCAGACCCAUCCCACGUCACAAACCAAUGAGAAUUCAUAUGCACAUCCUACUGUUGAAGAGGCAGCCAAACAGCAUUCAUGUCAUAACAUGGGCACUCAAGGUGAAAUGAGCAUAAAUGAAGCAUUUGAAAAGGUUGAACACUGUGAACAGGACAUCGAAAGAGCAAUGGCUGACCUCAGUCUUUGUCCUAAUGAGGACAAAGGGGAGGGAGCAGGGAGUAAUGACCAGACAACAGAGGGCGUAACAUCACUGGAAGGCCAAAUGAUUCCUCCCAGUGAGCGAUCAGAACAAGACACCCAACUCUUCCUACCAGAGUCUUCUGAAACUUCAGGGCCAUCCAAGGAUAAUGGUCAUGGGGGAACAGAGACUCAUAGUGAAGACACAAUACAAAGAGGAGCAAAAGAACCUACCGGAGACCCAGUGGAGCAUUCUGGUUCUGAUGAGACAUGGAGCACAUCUGAGGAACGAAAGCGAUGCUCUACUGCUCCUCACCUUAGUUGGGCCAAGAACGUGGUGAGAGAGAUCCUGGGUCGAAAGUCGGUGGACACAGAAAAUGCAAGAGGUAGUGUGACACACAUAGACACGCAAACCAACACACAAACAGAGGGUGAGAGAGAAAUGGACGAAUCAAGGAAAGAGGAAGAAAUAAUAGAGGGAGGAGAAGAACAACAGGGAGGGAUGGAGAGAGAGUUGAAUGCAAACCGUGACUGGCUGGAUCCUAGUUCUAACCAGCACACGGUUUCCUCAGAAGGAGAGGCAGAGGGGAAGGUAGAAGAAGUAUCUAAGAAGAAAGAGAGUAAAGAGGAAGUUGUUCUAAGCUCUAGUAGUUUUCGAGAUUUGGGAAAUGAGGCUCGCACGAGGAGGCGAGGGUUUCGAAAGUCAGCGGAGAAAACCAAAGAAGAGGAAGAGGUUGAGGAAGAGGAAGAGGGAGUUGGAAGGGACCGCAGGACGAGAAUAUUCAACAAAUCAGAUGAUAAAGAGGACGAAUUAUGUCUUACCUGGAGUGAAAUGGAUCUAAGGAAACUUGGGAGGACAAGAAAGAGGAAUUCGAAAUUCUUUAACUCUCAGUUGUAUCAGGAGUACAGUGAGGUGGUCCAGAACAGAGAGAUUCUGCUGUCUCAUUCUGAUUCUCUAUCAAUAAGUUCAUCUUCCUCUCCAAAUCAUUCCCCUAAGUUAUCACGCAGACCUCUCCCACCUCUCCCUCAAGUCCUCCAAUAUCAGAGAUUGAUGUGAGUAUUUGUUUGCACCGAUCUAAAGUGGGAAAUGUGCUUUUCC
ensembl:lncRNA